CACGUAGGAGGCGAGCGUUGUCCGGAAUCAUUGGGCGUAAAGGGUGCGUAGGUGGCGAGGUAAGUCGGAUGUGAAAGCUCGGAGCUCAACUCCGAAAUGGCAUUGGAAACUACCUUGCUCGAGGGUUGGAGGGGGGACUGGAAUGCUUGGUGUAGCAGUGAAAUGCGUAGAUAUCAAGCGGAACACCAGUGGCGAAGGCGAGUCCCUGGACAACUCCUGACACUGAGGCACGAAAGCUAGGGGAGCAAACAGG
rnacentral:rRNA from 1 species